rnacentral:tRNA from 1 species
GCGCUCGUAGCUCAAUUGGAUAGAGCGUCUGACUACGGAUCAGAAGGUUGGGGGUUCGAGUCCCUCCGAGCGCG